rnacentral:rRNA from 1 species
GCUUAAAACUCAAAGGACUUGGCGGUGCUUUACAUCCCUCUAGAGGAGCCUGUUCUAUAAUCGAUAAACCCCGAUAAACCUCACCACCUUUUGCUAAUUCAGUCUAUAUACCGCCAUCUUCAGCAAACCCUUAAAAGGUAGAAUAGUAAGCACAAUCAUUUUAAAUAAAAAAGUUAGGUCAAGGUGUA